CCAUUUGUGGAAAGGGUGACUGU
rnacentral:piRNA from 1 species